rnacentral:lncRNA from 1 species
CAUGGUUAAAUAAAACUGUACCCAGGAUAACCCUGAUUUCCAUAUGCAGAUUUAUCUGCACUGACAGCCCCCUUUCCCUCUCUCAGUCUCUCUGUUUUCUCUCUCUUUCUCUCUCUACACUGUGUCUGUCUGGUUUUCAGGGCACCUUUAUUUUUUUAUUUCUCUCAAACGCACAGGCUCAAAUAUCCAGACAAAGAUGCAAGGUGGUUGCUGCAGUCACUGUCUUUGGGAAAAAAGCUCAUCAUUGCAAUGCCAUUUUUUCACUCGGGCUCGGUGGUUAAACUUCCCCAGGAUGGAGCUGGAAAAGGAGCUGGAAAUAAACAGGAUUGGGGGAGAUCACAUUGCUGCAGCUGCAGCCAGCGGUGGCCACUGCCAGACGUGACCGGGUUUCUGGGGUCCUUGACAUUAAAAAGCAACGUGAGAAAAUAUUCGGAGACAAAAGCUGCAGCCUAAAUGAUAAUUUUCUUUAUUUAACAUGGCAGCAGGCGCCGUGCGUGGGGAGGAUCAACAUGCUGCAUGUUCAGUUGGACUUCUCUCCCUGGCUCCCUUCGAGGAUGAAAGGAGAUAAUGUAAUCUAUCCUGUGCCAAAUAGGGACCCGAGAGCAAUGAACAUAUGGCUGUUUCUAUUAGUGCUAGUGUAUUUUCAGCGAUGCCUGUCAACAUCCACCAGAGAGCAGGGCAGCUCCAAUACCUACAUCUUUUAUGCUGUAGAAAUCAAUGGGGACAGUAACACAGCCAGCUUCUUGACCAAACAACAUGGAUUGCAGUUCAUUUCAAAGUAAGAAAACAUUCAGAGGCUGAUCCUCAGCUUGACUACAAUGAAGAUGAAUCAACUUUAUGCCAGCUGAGGAGCUAUCUCGCAAAUGCUUGGUUUUUGUUAUUGUUGGUGGUUGUGGGGAUUUCAAACUCAUCUUGGAUGCCACACAUUGUACCCUUUUUCUAAACUUAAAUGUGCUUCCUAUGCCAAGAAAGUGACAUUCUCCAGUAAUAUCCUUUUUUCUGAUCUGUAUG